UGCACGACCACCACCUGAUCAGAGCACUGUGAUGUCCUUACAUUGAUGGAUUGAAGGCCAGAGGUCCACAUGAACAUCAUCAGCAUUGUCUAGUUGUUCUGCGUGAAGCCUGAAACCCAUGAGGACUGAUUGAGAUCACUGAUGAUGCUGGGCAUCGGACGAUCAUCUUCCAGGUUUAACAGAGAAAAAUGGAUCCUAACGGCAACAUGUACAGGGAAAAAAAGAACAGGGGCCACCCUACACGUGAAAUAGGGGCCGAGGAUGAGGAGAGUAUCGACCAGGCUGACCGAAACGCUUCUGCCUGUGAGGGCGACCUGAAGCAACCCAGAGGAGCUCCUGGA